rnacentral:rRNA from 1 species
GAUCAGGCUCAGGAUGAACGCUAGCUACAGGCUUAACACAUGCAAGUCGAGGGGCAGCAUGGUCUUAGCUUGCUAAGGCCAAUGGCGACCGGCGCACGGGUGAGUAACGCGUAUCCAACCUGCCUUACACUCUUGGACAGCCUUCUGAAAGGGAGAUUAAUACAAGAUGUUAUCAUGAGUAAGCAUUUUCACAUGAUUAAAGGUUUACCGGUGUAAGAUGGGGAUGCGUUCCA